CAAAGAGAGGAGAUUCUAACUCCCGCCUCUAGCUCCCAA
rnacentral:tRNA from 1 species